AUAUAAUAUCCGAUUGCAAUCCGAUUCGAAUCCCAUGUAAAUCUCAUGGAUCCGAUUUGAAGUUCGUUAUAAACGAUCUACCUUAGAUCUGGAUUCGAUCGGUUUGCAAAGAAUCGAGAUCGGAUUUGCUCCUCAUACAGCCUGUCUAAAAGUGGCAACCGCUCAACGGUUCAAUUGGCUGUCGAGGAAGCCCCAUUUCAUUUCACUUCUAAAUUGUUUUAUUUAUAGAACAUUUGUUCUUCUGCAUUUUUUCCUCCUCCGCUGCCGGAAUCCAUUUGCAGGGUAGGGUUUCGUUUAAAUGCUGUAGGAGCACUCCAUUUCCCAACGCUCUAUUUGGUUUCUAUUUGUAAGUAGGUUUGUUUUGAGAGAGAAAAAAGAAACAGGCGAUCCGGAGUGAUCCACUUGCAGGGUAGGGUUUUGUUGAAAUGCUGUAGGAAUACUCCAUUUCCCAACGUUCUUUGAUUCCUAGUUGUAAGUAGGUUUAAGCUUUUGAGAGAGAGAAAAAAAAAGACGAUCCGGAAUGAUCCAUUUGCAGGGUAGGGUUUUUGUUGAAAUAGUUGGGAUGUGCUCCUCCGCUGCCAUGAAGCUUUCUGCAACUAGCACUGUCCAUAUAUACUAAUGGAAUUGUGCUCCACCAAGAACCAGCUUUUCGAAAUUUACAAAUCAUCUAUGGAUUGAAAAGCAUUACCAUCGAGCACUUUGCUUAUGCUUUGUUCUAUACAUGGAUAAUCUUCUUUGUAAAGUCAAGAAGAAAUGCAACAAAAAUAUAUGAGCCAGAACAGUGCUGCCUUGGAGUUGAUCAAUAAUGCCACUGGUGUUGAUGAGGAAGGUCAUGCUCACCAACAAAUUCUUUCUUAUGCUGUUAAAAGCAAAAAGAUACAGGUCAAUUUGACGGUCCUGCUGAUUGUUCUUGAAGGAUGUUCUAAUUUUCCUUAAAACAUCUGGUUUCAAAUUCUCGCUUUUUGGGGUCAUCUUCAAGAAAGAUGGUGGUGCUGCCAGCAUUAGUGAAGAUAGAAGGAACUGCAGUCUUAAACUGAAGGCUAGGAGGUUGAAGGAAGCACCAAGGGAGAUAAGGUUUGACAUAAGGUGGAAUAGCUUCUAUGUGAUGGUGGUAAUGGCAGAGUUAGCAAAGUGUCGAGUGAGAGGAAGAUACGAACUGGGGGUUGAUUCUUGAGUUCUACACUCUUCUUUUCCUCUUUCUUCGCUCAUAUGGCGAAUCAAAUCGAAUGCAGUUCAGUUGAAGACGCCGGUGGUUUCUUACUUGCUAUAUGGUCUGCCGUCCAACUUAGAACAUGCCAACCCGCCCUUCUAGUGAAGCAUUCACGUGGAAGUCGAAAAACAACCAUCUUCGCAAGAUUAUCCAAUCAAACCAUCUUUGCAAUGGUUGCUUUGGCUUUUAGUCGGGCUUUGCUUCAUCACUCAGGGCUCAGGGGCAAGGUUCAAACUAUCAGCACGUGAGAUAUGCAAAAAUUGCGUAUCUUGUUUUCGGAGGAGCGAUACUCCCUGUUAAGAAUGGUUCCAUGAGUAAAGUUUCGAAACCAUGGCAAGCACAAGGGGGCUAAUUGUUGGUGAAGACCGUUUGAGCAUUGCACUUUACCGGCCUGAUUUUAUCUUUUGAUAAAGCACAUACCCAUCCUACUCUUAGUAAGGAGAACAUCCUUUGAUGCAACAUCAUUGUUUCAUUCAGAUUCAUGAAUAAUGUUGAAAUGAAUUUAUUUUAAUUCCUCGUUUCAUUUCGUCUUUUA